GUUUUGUGGUUGAUCAACACUGCUAGAACUUGCUUUGACAAUCUUAUUGCGUAGAGGAAAUUAGUCAUAGUUAUAGAUUUCUUCCUGUAAAAUUUAUUAUAAAAGUUGAGCACAACCUGAGAGUCGAGAGCGGAGAGUGAAGUGAGAAGAGCCAUUUAGGCUAAAAUACUUCAUAAGCCAACAAAGGCUGAAGUAUAUAAUCAAAAGGCCAGAUAGUUAAGCCUUGUCAAGUAAACUAAGAACAUUGUAAUAUUGUGAAAUUAUUAAAGAAGACGGAAUACGAAGUAUAAAGAAUAUAGAUUCAAAGUUGUGCUCAGCUCAAAC